AUUGAACGCUGGCGGCAUGCUUUACACAUGCAAGUCGAACGGCAGCGCGGGCUUCGGCCUGGCGGCGAGUGGCGAACGGGUGAGUAAUGCAUCGGAAAGUGCCCAGUAGUGGGGGAUAGCCCGGCGAAAGCCGGAUUAAUACCGCAUACGACCUGAGGGUGAAAGCGGGGGACCGAAAGGCCUCGCGCUCUUGGAGCGGCCGAUGUCGGAUUAGCUAGUUGGUGGGGUAAAGGCUUACCAAGGCGACGAUCCGUAGCUGGUCUGAGAGGACGACCAGCCACACUGGGACUGAGACACGGCCCAGACUCCUACGGGAGGCAGCAGUGGGGAAUUUUGGACAAUGGGGGCAACCCUGAUCCAGCCAUGCCGCGUGCGGGAAGAAGGCCUUCGGGUUGUAAACCGCUUUUGUUCGGGAAGAAAUCCUCUGGGCUAAUACCCCGGGGGGAUGACGGUACCGGAAGAAUAAGCACCGGCUAACUACGUG
rnacentral:rRNA from 1 species